UACGGGGGGGGGCAAGCGUUGUUCGGAAUUACUGGGCGUAAAGGGCUUGUAGGUGGCCAACUAAGUCAAACGUGAAAUCCCUCGGCUUAACCGGGGAACUGCGUCUGAUACUGGAUGGCUCGAGUGUGGGAGAGGGAUGCGGAAUUCCAGGUGUAGCGGUGAAAUGCGUAGAUAUCUGGAGGAACACCGGUGGCGAAGGCGGCAUCCUGGACCGGUAUUGACGCUGAGGCGCGAAAGCCAGGGGAGCAAAGCGGG
rnacentral:rRNA from 1 species